GCGGCGAGUGAAGCGGCAAAAGCUCAAAUUUGAAAUCUGGCGCCUUCGGUGUCCGAGUUGUAAUUUGAAGAUUGUAACCUUGGGGUUGGCUCUUGUCUAUGUUUCUUGGAACAGGACGUCACAGAGGGUGAGAAUCCCGUGCGAUGAGAUGCCCAAUUCUAUGUAAGGUGCUUUCGAAGAGUCGAGUUGUUUGGGAAUGCAGCUCUAAGUGGGUGGUAAAUUCCAUCUAAAGCUAAAUAUUGGCGAGAGACCGAUAGCGAACAAGUACAGUGAUGGAAAGAUGAAAAGAACUUUGAAAAGAGAGUGAAAAAGUACGUGAAAUUGUUGAAAGGGAAGGGUUUGAGAUCAGACUCGAUAUUUUGUGAGCCUUGCCUUCGUGGCGGGGUGACCCGCAGCUUAUCGGGCCAGCAUCGGUUUGGGCGGUAGGAUAAUGGCGUAGGAAUGUGACUUUACUUCGGUGAAGUGUUAUAGCCUGCGUUGAUGCUGCCUGCCUAGACCGAGGACUGCGAUUUUAUCAAGGAUGCUGGCAUAAUGAUCCCAAACCGCCCGUCUUGAAG
rnacentral:rRNA from 1 species